rnacentral:lncRNA from 1 species
AAUUUUUCAUUUAAUCCUUCCAUACCACAGCUGACAGGUACUGUAGUCAGAGACCCAGAAUGGAGAAGGAGGGAGAGGACGCAGAGUGCAAAGGAGGAAAGAGCAGAGGGGCAUGGCUUGUUCGUUUUUCAAAAAUCAUCCCCAAUGAUGUCCCGGUUCAACUUCGCCCUAGUUCGUCAGGCGCAGCCCCACGCCGGAGCUUGAGCUAGAGCAGCAUUCCGCCA